CGGGUGGCUGCAGCAGUGAGGAACAUUGCACAAUGGGGGAAACCCUGAUGCAGCAACGCCGCGUGGAGGAUGACGCAUUUCGGUGUGUAAACUCCUUUUAUGAGUCAAGAAAAUGACGGUAGCUCAUGAAUAAGCUCCGGCUAACUCCGUGCCAGCAGCCGCGGUAAUACGGAGGGUGCAAGCGUUACUCGGAAUCACUGGGCGUAAAGGACGCGUAGGCGGGCUUGUAAGUCAGGUGUGAAAUCCUACAGCUUAACUGUAGAACUGCACUUGAAACUACGAGCCUAGAGUAUGGGAGGGGCAGAUGGAAUUAGUGGUGUAGGGGUAAAAUCCGUAGAUAUCACUAGGAAUACCGAAAGCGAAGGCGAUCUGCUGGAACAUUACUGACGCUAAGGCGUGAAAGCGUGGGGAGCAAACGGGAUUAGAUACCCUAGUAGUC
rnacentral:rRNA from 1 species